GGCUUUGAACACUAUGUUAGUUAGGUGAGCAGGAAUAAUUUUUGUUUAGCACAAAUUUUGAGGGAUAACAGUUAAUAUCAACUUAUCAAUCCUUUGCAGUUUUUUGAAUUUGCUCUUGAAGAUUGUAUUUGGUUCUUUGGUGAUAGGGAGAAUUUGAUAUUUCUUGUUUAGGGCAGUUUGAUUCCUUGAAUUCGAAGUAUCUUUGGGUGUUUGAAUUUCAUGGCAAAUUGGAAUUUGAAGAAUUCACUCGAGUUUCAUGGUGAUCGUCCAAAAUUGAGCUCUGUUUGGAGCUCUAUGAACCUGUGAACGCGAAGAUUUGUGGGUUUUGAACUUCAAGCUAUUUUUCUAUCUUGGUUUCUCAACAUAAUUGAUUGAGAGCAGUGGGUGUGAAUUGGUUGAAUUCUAAGGUUUCUGAGGUUGCAGUUUUGUGUUUUCUGAACUUAUAUUCAUUUUAUAUAGCUUAGUUG
rnacentral:misc_RNA from 1 species